GGCUAACAAGACAUUUGCCCUGGGCAUUUGGGGACAGCUUUUUUUUGCCGCCCCCUGGAAAGUGCCACCAAGGCAAAUGCCUUGUUUGCCUCGCAGCUAAAACGUCCCUGGUCAUGGAGGGUGUAGUCAUGUAAUGUCAUCCAUCAGAAUUAACAGAAUGGGGUUUAUGACAGCUGUUUCAGUAUAGUACAGUAACAUUUUUGGAUCCAUAUGACGCCAGUCCAUCCUGUGUGGUGUGCACAUGGUCCUGUGGCAGUAGAAAUGGG